GAGAAGAGGGGAGGAGGAACAGAUGAAGCCAGGAGGGCAGAUCAGAUGAGGCUGGUGGGAGGAGCAUCUUUGACUCCUUUCCAUUGAUUCCAUUCCAGGCAUUACAAUGGGCCCGUCCUCAUAUAGCUCCCUUCAGCCCUUUUCACGUCUUUCCAUAGAUUUUCAAGCCGAUUAAGUCAAAUCUGUAACUAGGCCACUCAGGAACAUUCAAUGUCUUCUUGGUAAGCAACUCAAGUGAAUACAUGGCCUUUUGCUCCCUCACUCAAAAAAAAGUAGGGGUUCAACAACGGUUCUUCUAAAAUCCUCAAACUUCCUUGUAAAACCUUUGUUUUUGGCACUGAAAAAUGCCCCCAAAAAGUCCUUCCAAGAACCCCAUAGGAGGUGGGGAUUCUUGCUGGAACCUAACUGCCCAACUGAAGGACUGCAGGUGCAGGCACAAAAAUUUUAAGAUCUCCUCAAUUUCAGGUAAGGUUCCUCCCUUUACGAUCUAAAUGUAUAUUGUUUUAUGAUGAUACCAUCUAUCUUUUUAUAUUUGUGCAGAUGGUUGUGUUAUUCGAGACUUUCUCCCUUUAAUUUUUUUUAUUUCUAAACCAGAAAAUUCAAUGGAUAUGACUCAACAAAGAGGUAAGAAUAUGUUGAAGGCUAUAGCACAGAUGACUGAAUUGCUCACUUAUUUGUGUGUCUGUUUGCAGGUAUACUGACGAGGAGGCACACAAAGGACUCAGUCACAGCAGCCAUCUUCCUCCUCCGUUACCUUUUCAAUGAAGAUCCCAGAGGCCUUCACAUUAUGGACAAGACUUCACCCUGCCUACACCUUUGAUGAAUAUAACAUGAAACCUGUUCGAUCACCAUGCACUGCAAAAUCAUUCUGGCUAUGGAUAGCCUACAGAGAACAUCAACAUCAACACGCCAGAGGAUAUACCAAUUGGACUUGGGGCUGGCAGUGUACCUCAUUUUUAGAUUUUUAGAUUCUGCUUUGCCACUAAAAUCCUAAUAAACACU